GAGGGGAUAGCUCAGUGGUAGAGUGUGUGCUUAGCAUGCAUGAGGUCCUGUGUCCAAUCCCCAGUACCUCUA
rnacentral:tRNA from 1 species